rnacentral:lncRNA from 1 species
UUUUUUUUUUUAUUUUCCCACCUGCCUGCUGGCAGGGACAGAGGUCUCUGUGCCCUAGCAGAUUCCUGCUUUGUAAGACUGGCAAAGUGUUAACCAGGUCUCUUCAAUCCACACGAACAUGAUUUGUUGCCAAACAUAUAACUUAAAUACAAUACCUUUAAUCUUUGCCUCUGAAGCUGGCAAGCUGAAAGUUAAUGCAGGAAGGAAUGAUCACAAAUGCCCCUUUCCCUAGGAGAAAAGAUUACAUUGGCAACAGUUUUGCCUAUGGUAUGAUAGAAAACUUUCCUAUCAAUCAGAAGUGUUAUUGUUUUAUAAAGUAUUAUAGCUCACUCAGGCACAGAUGUUAUUUACUGCCUUGAAUUGAUUCAUGGAUCACUGUACUAUUCAAAUACUCUUUCUCUGCUCUUUUUGACCCCAGUUGCAGCUGAACUUCUGAAUAUGAAGGCUCAUUGUGGUUCAGACUAAUAUUGAUUUCUACUGCUCUUGUGAGGUGUAUCUGCUUCCAAACUGAGUAGAAUAAAGGAAGUUGUUUCUUAGGCCUGACUAAUCUCUCAAUACAACCAUUCUCAAGACCAUAAUGAAACCCAGCUGGUUUUGUCUCCUGAGGUGCCUUGGCCAAUAUCUUCCCUUUUUUACCUUGGAGAAACUUUGGAGGAUGAGGUUCAAAGACUGCCAAUAGCUUGAGUUCUAGAAAAUGCAAAAAUAAUAUGGAUUUCAUAUUGUACUUGUUAAAAGAAAAAUUAUGUUAUUGCUAACAUAAUUCUGCAUUUGAGAACGUAGUUGCUGCUUGUGCGAGUGAUUUUCUGAAAGAAAAAUCAGGAUGGUUUGAAAUGUGUAACAAAAUGAGUCUUAUUAAAAAUCUGCUGAAUACUUGAUUGUGUUUUUUGCAGGAACAUGAGGUUUAAAGAAAUCUUAGUGCUGUGAAGUUCAUGAUCUAUCCUGUUGGUUUCCAGGCUCUUUCAUUCAUACAUUUCCUAAUUCAUCGGAAUUUCUAAUUUCUUUCAAAUGUUCUGUAAUUCCCAAGGGACUAGGAGGUACUGCCCUGGGUCACAUUCCUGUUCAUGCAUAAGAAUUUUCAUUUCCCUGCAAAUGUUCAUCAUUUGUUUAUCAGAAGUUUUCUGGUUUUAUUUAGAAAAAUUUCUGGAUAUGUACUGUAGCAGAUUGUUUUUUCUGAUUCCAUGAAAUUUCACUGAAUUUUCUUUCCUCAGAUGCUUCUGAGGAAAAUCUCUGGAUCUUUUCACUAACUGUGGCAACUUUUAUAUCUCAAGACCCUGUAUCCCUCAGUCUUACUUAGCUUUCACAGUCACGCCAACAUAUUUCUCAAGGUAGUUAAGGAAUGAUUUCUUUCUUUUUUACUUUAGAGUUACUUUAUUCUUCUGAGGGAGCAAGGAGAAGAAACAAAGUGGAAGAGAAUUGAUAGCAUUACACAAACCCUGAAUACAAAACAGCUGCAAUGUGUUCAUGUGUUAGGGGAACUUGUGGCUUUUUGAAUUAACUGCUUUACCUAACCACUGAAGCUGAAUUACUACCUAUGAGAAGUACUGACUAAGACUGUAAAAAUUUUUUGUCUGUAAUGCUGUGAAAUAGAUGGUUAUGAAUAAGAUUGGUGGUUAUGAAUAAGCUUAUGAAUUUAUCUCUCUUUAUUUCCCCUUCUGGGGCAUUCAAAGAUGACAUGUUUAAUUUCUCUGGGUAGCUUCGUUAGGUAUCUCAGGGAGCCAAUCACUUCAUUAGGUGGUGCUGUGUGACAUAUAUAAUACCUAGUAUAUAGAAAUGUGCUUGUCAGUUUAGCAGAAAUGGAUCCAAGAUCUUCCAUUUUAUUCCUUCCCAUCUGUUAACCUGGCUUUUUUGUUCACCAGGCUACGUCUAGGAAAUAGAAAUGCAACAAGCCAGAACGCUGGUAGGGAUCUAAAUCUGCAUCGAAUCAAAGUAAUCUAAUUAUAUUGUUGCUCAGGGAAUUCAAACCUAAAUCCUGGUAUUCCUGAUUGAUCAGUGCAAGAGCAUUGAUCCAGAAGCCCCGAGUGCAGCAGCAGGAAAGCGAUGUAGCAGCAGGGAGGCGAGUCCGUUUGUCUCUCGUGCCAGCGCUUCUCUGGACAUAUGGUAGGACAUAUGGCUUGGGCAGGACUGCGUGCCUGGGCUGGGGAUAGUGACGAGCUCUGGAUGGGUAAGGUGGGCUGCACACCUCACCUCUGAUGGCUUGGUCUUACCCUACACCAUCCCAGGGAGGGCUUCUUACCUUGAAUUCAUCAGUUGCUCUGUUUUUUGGCAAGUGACUGCACAAAGGUGGCUGAGGCCAUCUCUGAGCUGAUGCUGCAGGCUGCCUCUGCUGCCAGGAAGCUCGCAGGGUCCUCUGCCCACUGGGUGAAAAAUUAUUUUAAAUGUUUUAAAUGAACUCUAUCCUACUUUUAAAUACCUUUCAGUUUCAUGUGUUUUUUUCAGCCUCUCCACAGAGGAUGCUGCUUUGUAAACCUGGAUUUCUGAUCACUUUAACCUCUCCCAUUCCAAUCUGGAGAGUCCCAGCCUUCCCAAUCUCCUGCUAAUGUGAAUGCACAAAUGUAUGCUUUCAGCUGUAUAGUUUUUAAAUUGUAGCUUGCUGUGUAAGGUACAGUAAUUGAGCAGCAUUUGCAGUGAGGGUUUGCUAGGAAAUAAGCAGGAGUCAGACCAUUCCUUUUCACCUAAGAGAGUAAAUGUCCUUGUAGAAUGGUUACUUUGUGCAUUUGUAAAGAAUUAAAAAAUGCUUUUAAUGAAAGUUCAAGAGAUUUCUGAUGAUGAAAAGAUAAUGGCACUGUGUGUUUGUGUUUCUUGAGUUGUUCUCAAAAAUCUCCUGUGGCACUAGAGUUCUAGAAAAAGAAGAAACCAAACCCUAAAAUUAAGGGAAAUGGUUGGGUUUGAUGUUAAACCAUGCGGCAUCUCUUUUAUUUUCCCCAGCCCAACUUUGCCACACAAGCAUUGCAUUCCUCAGAUAUCGGACAUUGGGUUACUCUGUGCACAGGAAAAGCUAGGAAGCUUUUAUGGACAUUUUCCCACCAUCUGCUGAGGGCAGACAAACAUGUGUGAGUGUGUCUCUGAUUCACACCAGUUGGCCAGCUGGGGCUGAAGUGAUCAGUUCUGUUUCAGUGUGAAGCAUUCCUGCAUUUUGGACAGGUUUACAUCCAUCUCACAACUAGGUUUUUUUUGAGAAUUGCAUGAUUUUGUCCUCAUCUUGUAGGAUGACUCCCUUUUUUGUGUUAAUUUUAUGUCCAUUGUGUUGUAAUACCCAGAUAGCUGGUGGCUGUUUCUGGGUAGGCUGCAUGAGGAGAGUUGGCAGGCCACUGGGACAGGGGUUUUGGCUGCUCUGAGCGAGGCUCGUGUCACAAGUCACAUCUUCUCAACUUCUAGCAGUGUUUUGGAGCCAUGAGCUCUGGUCUUAGGAGCUACCAUUGUAGCACAGUAGUUUUUACAAUAAUGUUUAUCUAAGCAGAUUAACAAGCAUACUUCUAAAUUUUGUAUCCAACCAUUGUUUUUGUGCUCCUUUUCUAUCUUAAACCAUCUUCUGUCUCUACUUCCACUCUCUUUCUGUGUGCUUAUUUCUCUUUCACAGUCUUUUUCUCAGACAGUGACUUAUUCAAUUUUCCUGCCUUCCAAGUUUUUGUAAUCAAACUUUCAUCUCUGUUUCCUUAUAAUCUGGCAAUUUAUAUUUCACAUUCUGCAACUUUCCCAGAAUAUGUGUUUGCUAAACCUCUUUCCAUGGCCUGUGCUCCUUUCACUGUUCACCAGUCUUGGAUGCUCUUAUAUCCUCUCAUGUAUAUCAAUAGUGCUUUCGAUUUUCUAGUUCCAAAUACUCUUGUUCUGCUCUGGUCCCCUGCUGCUCCACUCAAAUUCCCUCCAGUCUUACUCAGGAGCUCGCACAGAAAGCCAAUCCUUCUCCAAUUUCUUCCCAAGAAAAGUGGGGAAGAGCAGAAAAUGAAUCCAGUCUCUCCAGGAGCCUCUGAUACUGUGGACCUUUUAAGAAGGUGUCGCUUACGCCCCAAAAAAAGAACCUUGCCCUGUACCUCACUUAGUCUUCAGGUGAAGCUUUUUCCAAACAUGCUUGGCAUAGGAAAAUAUGAUAUACUUUUCCACAAAGACUUAUUUUACAUAUUGGGAUAUGAAGGUAGCAUCUAAAUGAUUUGCAUAGAAGUAUAACAAAAAAUUGAGAAAAAGCCUACUACUUUUUUUAAUCCCUUGUUCUAAGUAGGAUAGAAAUUAUUCACAAACACAGAUAAGUUUUAUGUAUUCAUCACUGAGUAAUAAAGUUUUAAAGUUGUUUUUUUCACAUGUUUAGUUUCCUUUUGGUGUUUCAUCAUAAAGAUUCAUCCAUGAAAAUCAGCUACUCAUUUCUGGAGACAGUGGCAUGAGGGACAGACAAGGUUGCAUAAGGCAGAAACUGUAUUAACAUUGUUUUUCUGAAAAACAUAUUAAAGGGAAGUUGAGAUACAUCUAGGUACAUCUUCCCAUUGAUGUAGAAUUUUUGUUGUUUUGUUGUUUGUUUCUUAUUUUGUUUUUUAAACGAGUUGUGGGCAUGGUGGGGUUUAGGUGUAGGUUUUAGGGUCCUGCUGCCAGACGGAGCUUAAAUGUGGGUCUGCAAUGACUUCAAUGAAUGUUAGAAGGCUUUGAAACAGGGGGAAAAAAAGGCAGGUUUUAUUACACUAUAAACUAGAAUAACGGACUGUUUAGGUAGAAGUCAAAUGAUAUGGGGAGGUGUAAAAGAAAUUAAGAGGUUCAGAUAGAAGUUGUUCCUUGAUCGUUGUGUCUUGGUGAGUGGAUUCAUUCUCCCAGCCUUGAUUCCAAUUGCCCACUGACCCUGGUGGCAAAUCCUUACCUUGAG